GCACUUCGGGAUAAGCCUGGGAAACUGGGUCUAAUACCGAAUAGGACCAUUUAGCGCAUGCUUUAUGGUGGAAAGCUUUUGCGGUGUGGGAUGGGCCCGCGGCCUAUCAGCUUGUUGGUGGGGUGGCGGCCUACCAAGGCGACGACGGGUAGCCGGCCUGAGAGGGUGUCCGGCCACACUGGGACUGAGAUACGGCCCAGACUCCUACGGGAGGCAGCAGUGGGGAAUAUUGCACAAUGGGCGCAAGCCUGAUGCAGCGACGCCGCGUGGGGGAUGACGGCCUUCGGGUUGUAAACCUCUUUCAGCAGGGACGAAGCGCAAGUGACGGUACCUGCAGAAGAAGCACCGGCCAACUACGUGCCAGCAGCCGCGGUAAUACGUAGGGUGCGAGCGUUGUCCGGAAUUACUGGGCGUAAAGAGCUCGUAGGUGGUUUGUCGCGUUGUUCGUGAAAUCUCACGGCUUAACUGUGAGCGUGCGGGCGAUACGGGCAGACUGGAGUACUGCAGGGGAGACUGGAAUUCCUGGUGUAGCGGUGGAAUGCGCAGAUAUCAGGAGGAACACCGGUGGCGAAGGCGGGUCUCUGGGCAGUAACUGACGCUGAGGAGCGAAAGCGUGGGGAGCGAACAGGAUUAGAUACCCUGGUAGUCCACGCCGUAAACGGUGGGUACUAGGUGUGGGUUUCCUU
rnacentral:rRNA from 1 species